GACAGAGGGGGCAAGCGUUGCUCGGAAUCACUGGGCGUAAAGGGCGCGUAGGCGGGAUGGCAAGUCGGUCGUGAAAUCCUUCGGCUCAACCGAAGAACGUCGGCCGAUACUGCCGUUCUUGAGGGAUGCAGAGGAGAUUGGAAUUCCCGGUGUAGCGGUGAAAUGCGCAGAUAUCAGGAGGAACACCGGUGGCGAAGGCGGGUCUCUGGGCAACUACUGACGCUGAGGAGCGAAAGCGUGGGGAGCGAACAGG
rnacentral:rRNA from 1 species